UAUUACUGUCUUCUUCACAGCUGCGCUGCCAUUAUACAGAUGAGCAAAGUGAGGUUUUCAAUCCACGCUUUGGCUUGUUCAAGGACUCUUGACCCAGAACUUCACGUUGCCAAAGCGCAUCACUUUCCUUCCAUGGAGGUAAAAUGGGGAGCCGAUCUCUUCUCCAGAAAAGCACAUUGGCCAAGUCCCAGGAGCCAGGAAAGAUGUGCCCUUCUGUCCCUGCAUGCAAUACAGAGCCUCACCAAGGCAGUCUGGGCUGAGACACUGGAGCACCGGGUCCAAACCCUGCCAUACCUGCUAGCUGUCACAUCGGCCCCUGCAGCCUCAGUUUCCACUUCGGGCAAAAUGGGCUCCUGGUAGCACCUACCUCCUUGCAUGGUCGUAAGGAUUUCUGUUCGAAAGUGCCUGACACCUCGUAGCCUUCUUUGAGCACUCUCCGCACCUGGGAUAACAAAAAACCUCCCCCGCCCCGGGUUGUUGGAGGAACCCUGGAGAUGAUGGGCGUCCAUCUGCCGUCAAGCAGGAAGAUAUGAAACAGUUCCGCCCAAGAGGGCAGGGAUUUUAUCUCUUCUGUUCUCUGCUGUAUCUUCAGAACCUAGAACACUGCCAGGCACGUAAGUAAUCAAUAAGUAUAUAUUUUUAAAUAAAUGAACAAGCAAGGGAUGAGGCUGGAGAGACAGGGAGGCUGGAGGCAGAUCUGGGGGGCCUUGAAUGCCACACUCAGGAGCAUGGCUGUGACCGGCAGUGAUGGACUCACCCUGGGAGGGAGGCAGGGCCUCGGAGAGAUCACUGUCCCAUGGCAGCUGGGCUGACAGUUGGGAUGACUGGGGAGGUGAGAGAUGGCCGAGGCCGCCUUCCAGAGGCAGCUUUCUGAGGGAGGCUUGGGCAUCAACCACUUAGCAUCGUUCGUGAAUGUCGGCAGCCACUUCACCCCCUGCCUUCCUGCCUCCUCCUGCCGUCCCCCCCGCCACCCCGGAUGUUAAACAGGAGCCCUGGAGAAGCCAUGGUUUCUCAGUGUUUCCCGGGCAAUAAAGAUGUGCUAGACAACGGGACAGGGCCCACGGGGCUGAGGAGGCAGGCACGGGGGUGGGCGGGUGAGAAGAGGUCCCAAGGCAGCCACUGCGGGGCGGGGGUCCUGGUGUGUCAGACCCUGGGGUCAAGCUGUUGAAGGGUCACCCCUCCCAGACCGUGGCUGGCUAUUCAGAACCAGGGAUUUUACAGCAACCUGAAAAUCCAGGGAAAGACCAAACUUCUGGAAUCAGCCGGCCUUCGGCCACUUGUUCCUUAAUUGCACACUGUUGAACAGGUCACAUAUAUGCCCCACACCUCCCUCUCCACAUCUCGGAAUGGGGUGGGGUGAGGAUUCAAUGGGGAAAGUGAUGGAUCUAAAGCAGCCAGCUCAAUGCCAGGUGCACAACGGUUGCCUUUGUCACUGUUAACCCCUCUACUGCUAGUAUUCCUUAACAAUCCACUUUAUCACCCUGCCCAUAAAGGGAGGGGGAGGAUGGCGGAAGGUUACCAGAGGAAACAAGUCAGUAGUGGAGAGAAAAAGCAAGUUCUGGAGUCAAACAGAUCUGAGUUCAAAUCCAGCUGUGUGACUUUGGGUAAGGCGCAUCACCUCUCUGAACCUCAGUUUUCUCAUUCAGAAAACAAGGAUGGUACCUUCCUCUCAUGGUGCGGUGAGGAUUACUGGACGCGGAUGCUGUGUGGAGAGGUCUACACUUUCGAAAGCACUCUUUCCCAUCCAUCAUUUCAUUGGAGCCUCGCUUCAGCACCUCAGGAUGAACAGGACUGAGAGUUUGAUCCACAUUUGACAAACGGGGACACAAGAGCUCAAGCGGCGUUGCACUCAGGGGAGCAAUCUGCUCAAAUGUCACACAGCCGGUGAGAUUCUGGGAUGGACACGAAGCCAGGCAUCUCAACUCCCGUCUCUUUUCAGAUCAGCCGCUUAGGUAUUCAUCCACUCAACAGACAGUCCCUGAGCUAAGCUCCAGCAAUAAGGCAGUAAAUGGGCAGACACGACUUCCGCCCUCGAGGAACUUGGAGCCUGGUGGCUCAGGACACAGAGACCUUUUCCGAGACUGCACCAAUCACAGGGAAGACCCAGUUCUGCUCAGAGACCGCAGAUCGGGAUGCACCCUGAGUUCAGAGUCAUGGCUUUUGUGCCCACCUUGGGCAGUGAGCAGGCCAGGAACAGAAGAUUUCUCUACCCUCAGGGAUGAAAUCCACUCGUUAAUAAGCCCAGAUACUGGGAAUUCCCUGGUGGUCCUGCUUCCAGGGCAGGUUCGAUCCUUGGUCGGGGAACUAAGCUCCUGCAAGCUGCACAGCACGGCCAAAAAUAAAUACAUAAAUAAAAGCCCAGAGAUUUGCACCAGGAUCCCAGCCUGAACAAGAGUCCUAAAAUAAAGGUUUCCAUAGCCAGAUGCGUUCAGAAAAGCUACACAUCUCCCACCCUCUCUGAGAGUCACACUGCUUUGGCACGUACUACACCCUGGAAA